GUGGGUAUAGUUUAAUGGCAAAACUUUAACCUUCCAAGUUAAUAUUAUCGGUUCGAUUCCGUUUACCCGCA
rnacentral:tRNA from 1 species